AAGUCGUAACAAGGUUUCCGUAGGUGAACCUGCGGAAGGAUCAUUAACACGUAUCCAAACGUUAACCCCCCUGUGAACCUUUCGUGUGCUCGCACCUUUGUCAGAGCGUGGCAAUCCCUAGUAAAUCAUCGCCGAACAGUUUUCGAUUUAGGGACUUCCACAAAGAGUGUGCUCGUAGCGCGAGGCAAGUGGCCUGGCAUUCCUGUGUAAGGAUGGCGCAGUCACGAUCGUUGACACGGCCGACGACCGGGUCACCGGGCUCACGCCCCUUAAUCACAACUUAAUGCAUGUCAGACGCGCCUGCGCUUAAUUGUGCGGCGACCAUAAAACUCGAACAACUGUUAACAAUGGAUAUCUUGUUUCUC
rnacentral:misc_RNA from 1 species